rnacentral:rRNA from 1 species
AUUGAACGCUAGCGGGAUGCUUUACACAUGCAAGUCGAACGAGUGGCGGACGGGUGAGUAAUAUAUCGGAACGUGCCCAGUUGCGGGGGAUAACUACUCGAACGCAUGGCUAAUCCCGCAUACUAUUGGAGCGGCCGAUAUCGGAUUAGGUAGUUGGUUGGGGAAAGGCUCACCAAGGCAAAGAUCCGUAGCUGGUCUGCGAGGGUGACCAGCCACACUGGGACUGGGACACGGCCCAGACUCCGACGGGAGGCAGAAGUGGGGAAUUUUGGCCAAUGGGGGAAACCCUGAUCCAGCCAUCCCGCGUGUAUGAGAAGGCCUUCGGGUUGUAAAGUACUUUUGGCAGAGAAGCGGUAUCUGCAGAAUAAGCACCGGCUAACUACGUGCCAGCAGCCGCGGUAAUAC